GAUGAACGCUGGCGGCGUGCUUAACACAUGCAAGUCGAACGGAAAGGCCCAAGCUUGCUUGGGUACUCGAGUGGCGAACGGGUGAGUAACACGUGGGUGAUCUGCCCCGCACUUCGGGAUAAGCCUGGGAAACUGGGUCUAAUACCGGAUAGGACAGUGGUUUGGAUGCCAUUGUGGAAAGUUUUUUCGGUGUGGGAUGAGCUCGCGGCCUAUCAGCUUGUUGGUGGGGUAAUGGCCUACCAAGGCGUCGACGGGUAGCCGGCCUGAGAGGGUGUACGGCCACAUUGGGACUGAGAUACGGCCCAGACUCCUACGGGAGGCAGCAGGGGGGAAUAUUGCACAAGGGGCGCAAGCCUGAUGCAGCGACGCCGCGUGGGGGAUGACGGCCUUCGGGUUGUAAACUCCUUUCGCUAGGGACGAAGCGUUAUGUGACGGUACCUAGAGAAGAAGCACCGGCUAACUACGUG
rnacentral:rRNA from 1 species